CAGUAGCCGCGGGAAUACGAAGGGGGCUAGCGUUGCUCGGAAUUACUGGGCGUAAAGGGAGCGUAGGCGGGUUAUCAAGUUGGAGGUGAAAGCCCAGGGCUCAACCUUGGAAUUGCCUUCAAAACUGAUAGCCUAGGGUAUGAUAGAGGUAAGUGGAACUCCGAGUGUAGAGGUGAAAUUCGUAGAUAUUCGGAAGAACACCAGUGGCGAAGGCGACUUACUGGAUCAUGACUGACGCUGAGGCUCGAAAGCGUGGGGAGCAAACAGGAUUAGAUACCCGCGUAGUCCCUGUCUCUUAUAC
rnacentral:rRNA from 1 species